rnacentral:rRNA from 1 species
AUCUGCGGCCAUACCACCCUGCACAUGCCCAAUCUUGUCUGAUCUUGGAAGUUGGCAAGGUUGGGAUGAGACCUGAGUGUGACUGCAUUUU